GAAUCCCGUCUUUGACACGGACUACCAAUGCUUUGUGAUGCGCUCUCAAAGAGUCGAGUUGUUUGGGAAUGCAGCUCAAAAUGGGUGGUAAAUUCCAUCUAAAGCUAAAUAUAGGCGAGAGACCGAUAGCGAACAAGUACCGUGAGGGAAAGAUGAAAAGCACUUUGGAAAGAGAGUUAAACAGUACGUGAAAUUGCUGAAAGGGAAACGCUUGAAGUCAGUCAUGUCUGCCAGGACUCAGCCUUGCUUCUGCUCGGUGUACUUUCUGGUCGGAUGGGCCAACAUCAAUUUUGACCGUUGGAGAAAGGCUUUGGGAAUGUGGCACCUUCGGGUGUGUUAUAGCCCUCGGUCGUAUACAACGGUUGGGAUUGAGGACUGCAGCACGCCUUUAUGGCCGGGGUUCGCCCACGUACGUGCUUAGGAUGUUGGCAUAAUGGCUUUAAGCGACCCGUCUUGAAACACGGACCAAGGAGUCUAACAUGCCUGCGAGUGUUUGGGUGGAAAACCCAUGCGCGUAAUGAAAGUGACAGCUGAGAUCCUCUCAUCAGGAGCAUCAGCACCUGGACUUGAUCUACGGAGACGGUUCUACGGUAGAGCAUGUAUGUUGGGACCCGAAAGAUGGUGAACUAUGCCUGAAUAGGGUGAAGCCAGAGGAAACUCUGGUGAAGGCUCGUAGCGAUUCUGACGUGCAAAUCGAUCGUCAAAUUUGGGUAUAGGGGCGAAAGACUAAUCGAACCAUCUAGUAGCUGGUUCCUGCC
rnacentral:rRNA from 1 species